rnacentral:rRNA from 1 species
AGUGAACGCUGGCGGUAGGCCUAACACAUGCAAGUCGAACGGCAGCACAGUAAGAGCUUGCUCUUACGGGUGGCGAGUGGCGGACGGGUGAGGAAUACAUCGGACUCUACUUUUUCGUGGGGGAUAACGUAGGGAAACUUACGCUAAUACCGCAUACGACCUACGGGUGAAAGCAGGGGAUCUUCGGACCUUGCGCGAUUGAAUGAGCCGAUGUCGGAUUUGCUAGUUGGCGGGGUAAAGGCCCACCAAGGCGACGAUCCGUAGCUGGUCUGAGAGGAUGAUCGGCCACACGGGAACGUGAACACGGUCCAGACUCCUACGGGAGGCAGCAGUGGGGAAUAGUAGACAAUGGGCGCAAGCCUUAUCCAGCCAUACCGCGUGUGUGAAGGAGGCCUUCGGGGUGUAAAGCCCGUUUGUUGGGAAAGAAAAGCAGCAGGUUAAGACCCCGCUGUUCUGACGGUACCCAAAGAAUAAGCACCGGCCAACUUCGUG